rfam:Fonticula alba strain ATCC 38817 unplaced genomic scaffold supercont2.22, whole genome shotgun sequence.
GGGAAAUUAGUCUAGUGGUAUGAUUCUCGCUUAGGGUGCGAGAGGUCCCGGGUUCGAUUCCCGGAUUUCCCC